CACAGCCAGCCAGACAGAAGGCUACCGCCCUCUAGCAGCCUUGCAGUUAACACUCUCCUUGCCCAGCCCUUGCAAGGAGGCCUCUCUCGUGGCCUCUCCACAGCCACAGCAGGCCUCUUUCAUCGGCACCCUUUUGGAGACAACCCUGACCUGUCCUUUCCGGGGCACUGUCCAGGUUUCAUUACAGAGCCCCCCAGUGACUGCUUCGGAGCCUUGCCUUCCACUAUUUGAUUCUGAUUCUCUGGAGAACUCUAACAGACAGAAGUUAGGAGGAACAAUGACACACAGGAAGAACAGGGGUAAAGCAAGAUGGCAGAGACAUCUCUAGAUCUGCAGCGCCUUUCCAGA
rnacentral:lncRNA from 1 species